rnacentral:sRNA from 1 species
UAGAGGCAGCGGAGACAGGAAUGGAGCCAAGGCGGCGGAGACAGGAGGCAGGAGCGGAGACA